ACGAACGCUGGCGGCGUGCCUAAUACAUGCAAGUUGAGCGAUGAAGAUUGGUGCUUGCACCAAUUUGAAGAGCAGCGAACGGGUGAGUAACGCGUGGGGAAUCCGCCUUUGAGCGGGGGACAACAUUUGGAAACGAAUGCUAAUACCGCAUAACAACUUUAAACAUAAGUUUUAAGUUUGAAAGAUGCAAUUGCAUCACUCAAAGAUGAUCCCGCGUUGUAUUAGCUAGUUGGUGAGGUAAAGGCUCACCAAGGCGAUGAUACAUAGCCGACCUGAGAGGGUGAUCGGCCACAUUGGGACUGAGACACGGCCCAAACUCCUACGGGAGGCAGCAGUAGGGAAUCUUCGGCAACGGACGAAAGUCUGACCGAGCAACGCCGCGUGAGUGAAGAAGGUUUUCGGAUCGUAAAACUCUGUUGGUAGAGAAGAACGUUGGUGAGAGUGGAAAGCUCAUCAAGUGACGGUAACUACCCAGAAAGGGACGGCUAACUACGUG
rnacentral:rRNA from 1 species